GUAUCUUUUAAAGAUUAUUUAAAUAAAAAGCUUUAAUCUGUUCUUAUCAACUUAAUAUCUGGUACGCCUCCCAUUGCGAGACCAGUAUAUUAAACUAUUAUUUGGAACACGGUAGAUUGUUAGGAGCUUGCUCCACUUCUACCGCGGAUUGACUCAGUGUUGCAGUACAGCUGGGAUUGGCCCUGUCAAA